GAUGAACGCUGGCGGCGUGCCUAAUACAUGCAAGUCGAGCGAACAGACGAGGAGCUUGCUCCUCUGACGUUAGCGGCGGACGGGUGAGUAACACGUGGAUAACCUACCUAUAAGACUGGGAUAACUUCGGGAAACCGGAGCUAAUACCGGAUAAUAUAUUGAACCGCAUGGUUCAAUAGUGAAAGACGGUUUUGCUGUCACUUAUAGAUGGAUCCGCGCCGCAUUAGCUAGUUGGUAAGGUAACGGCUUACCAAGGCAACGAUGCGUAGCCGACCUGAGAGGGUGAUCGGCCACACUGGAACUGAGACACGGUCCAGACUCCUAAGGGAGGCAGCAGUAGGGAAUCUUACGCAAUGGGCGAAAGCAUGACGGAGCAACGCCGCGUGAGUGAUGAAGGUCUUCGGAUCGUAAAACUCUGUUAUUAGGGAAGAACAAAUGUGUAAGUAACUAUGCACGUCUUGACGGUACCUAAUCAGAAAGCCACGGCUAACUACGUG
rnacentral:rRNA from 1 species